CUCACCACUGAUGAGUUGAAUACCGCCCCAGUCUGAUCACUGUGAGGAGAGGUAUAUUCUGAGUUGUG
ensembl:snoRNA SNORD31 Small nucleolar RNA SNORD31